UUGAUCAUGACUCGCAGAUGACCCCUAUUGAUUUUGUGGUCACUAGGUCAAAGGUCAAGGUCACGGUGACCCGAAAUAGUAAAAUGGUUUUUGAAUGAUAACUCAAGAACACAUACGCCUAGGAUCAUGAAACUUCAUGGGUAGAUUGAUCAUGACCUGCAGAUGACCCCUAUUGAUUUUGAGGUCACUAGGUCAAAGGUCAAGGUCACGGUGACCCGAAAUAGUAAAAUGGUUUCCGGAUGAUAACUCAAGAGCGCAUACGCCUAGGAUCAUGAAACUUCAUGGGUAGAUUGAUCAUGACUCGCAGAUGACCCCUAUUGAUUUUGAGGUCACUAGGUCAAAGGUGAAGGUCACGGUGACCCCAAAUAGUAAAAUGGUUUUCGGAUGAUAUCUCAAGAACGCAUAUGCCUAGGAUCAUGAAACUUCAUCGGUACAUUGAUCAUGACUCGCAGAUGACCCCUAUUGAUUUUGAGGUCACUAGGUCAAAGGUCAAGGUCACGGUGACCAGAAAUAGUAAAAUGGUUUUUGAAUAAUAACUCAAGAACGCAUACGCCUAGGAUCAUGAAACUUCAUGGGUAGAUUGAUCAUGACUUGCAGAUGACCCCUAUUGAUUUUGAGGUCACUAGGUCAAAGGUCAAGGUCACGGUGACCCGAAAUAGUAAAAUGGUUUCCGGAUGAUAACUCAAGAAAGCAUACGCCUAGGAUCAUGAAACUUCAUAGGUAGAUUGAUCAUGACUUUGCAGAU